CGGCAAGACGAUGUUCAUGUAGAGGCAUAUCACCGGGGAGUUCGAGAAGAAGUACGAACCGACGAUCGGUGUGGAGGUGCGGUCGCUGGACUUCCAGAUGAGCCACGGCAAGAUCAGGUGAUCAUUGGUGCUGUUGCUGCCGCUGUGCAAGUCGGAGGUGUCGCUGCUACAUUUGGUGGAGCUAGUGCUGCCGCUCCAAAGGGUAACCUUCAUCAGACACUACCUCAUAAUAGUGCCUCAAAGUGUCAUGCGUCUUGUGUUACUACAUACAUCUGUCAUGAAGUGCAUGGUUCCGGAACUAUGACUUUACCCCUUGCUAGAUCCUUCGGUGGAGGUGACCCAUGUGAUGGUGAUUCGCUCCAGCAGUUCCGGUUCCGGCAAUGGUGGUGCUACACUGCUACUGCUCCUAUGAUGGCUACGCAUUGGUACAUGGUUCAUGGAUAUGCCAACCUGCAGCUUGUUGUCCAUACAUAUUCCCGCAUGUUAGUGUCUCCCCGUGUAAGUACGAAUUCUGGUGAUGCCUUCAUCUAUGAUGAUGCUCUG
rnacentral:rRNA from 1 species